rnacentral:rRNA from 1 species
UAAUACGAAGGGACCUAGCGUAGUUCGGAAUUACUGGGCUUAAAGAGUUCGUAGGUGGUUAAAAUAGUUGGUGGUGAAAUCCCAGAGCUUAACUCUGGAACUGCCAUCAAAACUUUUUAGCUAGAGUAUGAUAGAGGAAAGUAGAAUUUCUAGUGUAGAGGUGAAAUUCGUAGAUAUUAGAAAGAAUACCAAUUGCGAAGGCAGCUUUCUGGGUCAUUACUGACACUGAGGAACGAAAGCAUGGGUAGCGAAGAGGAUUAGAUACCCUCGUAGUCCAUGCCGUAAACGAUGUGUGCUAGGCGUUGGAAAUUUUAUUUUCAGUGUCGCAGCGAAAGCGAUAAGCACACCGCCUGGGGAGUACGACCGCAAGGUUA